CACGUAGGGCGCAAGCGUUGUCCGGAAUUAUUGGGCGUAAAGAGCUCGUAGGCGGUCUGUUGCGUCCGCUGUGGAAACUCGGGGCUUAACCCCGAGCCUGCAGUGGAUACGGGCAGACUAGAGGUAGGUAGGGGAGAAUGGAAUUCCCGGUGUAGCGGUGAAAUGCGCAGAUAUCGGGAGGAACACCUGUGGCGAAAGCGGCUCACUGGACCACAACUGACGCUGAGGCGCGAAAGCUAGGGGAGCAAACAGG
rnacentral:rRNA from 1 species